rnacentral:rRNA from 1 species
GUGUAGCGUACCUACUAGCCUACGACGGGUACGGGUUGUGAGAGCAAGAGCCCGGAGAUGGAUUCUGAGACACGAAUCCAGGCCCUACGGGGUGCAGCAGGCGCGAAAACUUUACAAUGCUGGAAACAGCGAUAAGGGGACCUCGAGUGCCAGGUUACAAAUCUGGCUGUCGUGAUGCCUAAAAAGCAUUGCAUAGCAAGGGCCGGGCAAGACCGGUGCCAGCCGCCGCGGUAACACCGGCGGCUCGAGUGGUAACCGUUAUUAUUGGGUCUAAAGGGUCUGUAGCCGGCCGGAUAAGUCUCUUGGGAAAUCUGGCAGCUUAACUGUCAGGCUUUCAGGAGAUACUGUCUGGCUCGAGGCCGGGAGAGGUGAGAGGUACUUCAGGGGUAGGGGUGAAAUCUUGUAAUCCUUGAAGGACCACCAGUGGCGAAGGCGUCUCACCAGAACGGACCUGACGGCAAGGGACGAAAGCUAGGGGCACGAACCGGAUUAGAUACCCGGGUAGUCCUAGCCGUAAACGAUACUCGCUAGGUGUCGGCCACGGUGCGACCGUUGUCGGUGCCGUAGGGAAGCCGUGAAGCGAGCCACCUGGGAAGUACGGCCGCAAGGCUGAAACUUAAAGGAAUUGGCGGGGGAGCACCACAACGGGUGGAGCUUGCGGUUUAAUUGGAUUCAACGCCGGAAAUCUUACCGGGACCGACAGCAAUAUGAAGGCCAGGCUGAAGACUUUGCCGGAUUAGCU